ensembl:lincRNA
AUGCCCUCACCACCGCUUCACAAGCCUUUACCCACAUGGUGUCAGAGGCUGACCAAGAUCGACCUGGAGAAGCCUGGCACCCACCCCCCGCUGCUGCAGGGGCCUGGGCCUGUGAGCCACACGCACGGAAAUGCAAUGACUGCUGAGUUUGAAGAUGCCAACUGGGGGGGGGCCACCGCAUCCCUCUUCCUUGCAGGAUUUACAAGUCACCUGUGGCUUUUAGGCUCUCCUCCUCCUCCCCCCAAAAAACUACAGAAUCUCUAUUUUUUUCUUCAAAGCCAUGGAAUGUGUUUUGACGGUGUUUCCCCUUUCCAGAACAAGUUUCUAGCUUGGCUUCUCCCCUACCACUGGCCUUCGGGGUUUCCUCCAGACCUGGUCUCCUACCUGAGGGCCAUGCUCCGAGCCUCUCUGGCCAGCAGACACAGCCUCUUCCUGGUCAGGGCUUGGCCUUCGCUCACACACCCGGGGAUUUCCCUCCCCAGUGGCAUUCCUUCCCUCACUGAGGCAACUGCGUCCCAGGCUGUGUGACCGUGGACGGAAAGGGUGGGGACUAAUGUAUUUAUACCCAACCCCUGCCUGCCCGUAUCUAGGAUUUCCUUCCUUAUAUGAAGAUUCCUAAUAACAAAUCCAAUAUAUUUCUUUUUUCAUAUGUCCUGUCCACAUCCACAUCUUGCUUUGAGCGACAAGCUCUUCUGUUUCCAGGAGCGAAAAUGGAAUAUUCUUUGUCUGGUGUGACAUGUGAAAAUGGGGGGGCCAGGAGAGGUGAGGCGGAAUAUAUGCUCUUUUGAAAUAAGACUGAGUUCAAAAUGGACAGUCUACCUGCUUUCUCCUCUCCCCUCAACUUUGACAACAGCUAGCUUGAAGGCAAGGGCUAAGUUGUCAGGUGCUUUUUAUUACUUAGUAGAAUCAAAAUCUGCUUUCUCUUUGGAAUAUAAAAAAGCAACAGAGAAGCAAAGGGCAAAUCCUUUGCAACCAUCACCUGGUUUACACAGGGGAAAAGCAAAUACCAUUAGGAUGGUAUGUCCGCCUGCUGCAGGCACCCGCCCGCGGAGUCCUGUGUUGGGGGUUGACUCUGCCCUGCGUUUUGUGUUGAAGUUAAACAGUCCUGUGUUUGAGGAUGGACUCACUAAUGCUCUGUCAGUUACUAGUUAAGUGUCCUUGUUGGAAAAUCCUGUUCCAUGAGGGGGAACGUGGUGAGGGUUGGGGGAGGUGGGAAGACCACGAAGAGUCAGUCUUCUGCCACUGUGCAGAAGAAGAGACACAGAAAAAGGCUCAGCCCAGCUGCCAGGGCUGCCUGUGAACAGGGACAGUCCUAAGGAGUGACAGAGGCAAAGGAAAGAAGAACCGAGUUGGUUCCUCUUUCCAGUUGUCCUCUACUGGCCAAAUUAGGAACAACUGAGCAUCAAAAUAAAUCCUACAGAUACAAAGGAUUAUAACCCACUGCAUAAAACGAGGACUUGUGAAUCUCGCUGAUAGAAAUUUUAAAAAGGGAGAUUUCUGCCUUGUAAGUAGAAAGCCAGCUGACACACACACAAGGGAUAAUGGGACCAGAACAAUCACCACCAUAACAGUACAUGACUCCAAGCAAGAACCAAUGCGUGCUGAGACUAGUGGGUAAGAGUUUGAGGGGAACAGAAUGGCUAGUUUCAGCAUCUCCCCAGCACAUGCUUCAGGCUCAAACAGUAUGUGGGCUGUGAAGAAACCAAGCACGCAGCACCUGCGACCGAUAACCAAAGGGAACACUGCCUGCGAUCAAUGAGACCAACCAGCUCCAGGUGCCCCCGAUGGGACGCGCUGGGAACUCAGUACCACGUCUCUGGUUUUCCUGCCAAAAUAACGUAAACUGGGUGGAGGAGUGAAGCGACAUCUGUUAAGCCCAAAUGGAGAGAUAUUCUGCAAAACAGCUGGCCUGUACUCUGAAUAGUAGAAAAGGCAAAGACCGAGGAGCCACUCCGGAUUAAAGAAGACUAAGGAGAUAGGAUGGCCCAAAUGAAAUGCACAUGCUUUUUGCUAAAAGGUCAUUUUUGACACAGUUGCUGAAAUCUGAAAAAGGCCUGUAGAUUAGGUAACAGUAUUAAGUCAGUAUUAAUUUCCUGAUUUUGACCAGAGCACUGGGGUAUAUAAGAGAAUGUCCUUGUUUUUAGGAAACACACAGGCAAGGAUUAAGGAGGAAAGGGCAUGAGGUCUAUAAAUUUUAAAAUGAUUUAGAAACAAAAUUGGGUGCGUGUGUGCAUGUGUAGAGAAAGAGAGAGGACCAAGCUAAUGUGGUAAAUGUUAACUUUUGGGGAUUGUGAGUUGAGGGUAUAGGAAGGUUCUCUGAACUUUUCUGACAGUUUUUCAGUAAAUCUGACGUACUGUCAGAAUGAAAAGUUCAAAGAAAAAAAAUGGGAAAUUAAAAAAAAAAAAGCACCAAUCUAAUGUCAGCUCUCAUUCUGUGUAUCCCUAGACUAGGACCAACCACUGAUGGGAAAUCACUGAUAUUAAGAUAUUCCCUAAAAGGAAGCCCAGGGGAAAGGUUUUGAAAGGGAGGUCCCCAAAAGCCCACCAAUUUUUUCUGGAUUUAGUUAUUCUGAGUAUAUCCUGAAGACCUUCCCUCAGUAACCAGUACCAGGCACCUGGAGGUCAAGGGAUGGUUCCUGUCCUCCGCGGCUAUCUUCGAGGGGACGAGUGCUUUGGCGUCCUCUGCUGUCUGCCUCCCCUUCCCAUCCCAAGCUCCUCGCAGGCAACGCCUAACUCCCGGCAGGAUCUAGCACCCACAGGCCCUUUGCACUUGCUAUUCAAAUGAAGAAAUGCCUGCUGAGGGAUAGGUAUGAAUGAAGAAUGAGUAGAUUUUCUACCUGAGGUCACACUACCCAGUGGCCCAAAACAAAGACCCGAGUGCAGGAGCUGAGAGAGAUGGGUGGGACUCAAUUCCUCCCUUUUUGGCUGGGGAAGCUGAAAAACCUCCCUUGGGUCAUUCUCAGGGUCAAGGGCGUUCUGCUCCAAGGGUUCUAGUCCACGAGCGAGCGGUAGAGGCAGCUUCGGGGAAGUGGUCUGAGUUGAUUGAAAUUGGAAUGCUUGGGAAAGAGACACGAAAUUAAACACUUAAAUUUCCAGCUCCGUUUUUGAAAAAACCAACUCACCAGUGUUUACAAAACAGUUGGGGUUUCCUGUAACCUGGGCAGCAGGUGAAGUUGACAAAUAUUUAGUGAGUCGUUUCUGGGUACUGAGCUCCUGGGCUCAAGAGGAAUGAAGGAUGAUAUUCGGCAGGUGCUUUCUAGGCUAAAUACGAGAUGGCCUGCCCAACUUCCCUGACCGCUGAAUUCACAACAGAAAAGAGACAAGAAGCUACAUUCUAAGACUACUCAAUCCAUUUCCUCCUUUUUGGAUAGCCUUGGAAAACUCUUGGUGUGUUUCCUUUUCUCCUGAAGAGGCUGAGCUUGGCUGAUUUUGGAGAACCUGGAAAACUAUACAAGGACCUUUUUUAUUACCAGCACCAUCAAAGAGUCUGUUUUACACGUCCUCAAUAGUUGAUGUACGGGACACCAGGGCAGCUCAGCCCAUUAAGGGUCUGGCUCUUGGUUUCAGCACAGGUCAUGAUCUCAGGGUCGUGAGAUCAAAACUUGAGCUGGGCUCUGCCAUCAGUGGAGAGUCUGCUUGAGAUUCUCUCUUCCUCUCCCUCCCACUCCCUCUCUGACUCAAAUAAAUAAAAAUAAAUAAAAUCUCCUAUAGUUGAUGUGCUAUGAUAUAUGCUAGCAUCGUCCAGAACUGAGUUCGAUGGGAUAUCGAUGUGCAGAAAUGUCUUUGUAGGUUUUUCCCCUCAGAAAGGGGUCCCUGGUCAGAUAGGUUUGGAACAAUAGAGAUUAAGUUUAAAGAUGAAGGGGGCCUGGGUGGCUCAGUCGGUUAAGCGUCUGCCUUCUGCUCAGGUCAUGAUUCCGGGGUCCUGGGAUGGAGCCCUAUGUCAGGCUUUCCACUCAGCCGGGAGGCUGCUUCUCUCUCUCCCUAUUUCCUUCUCCCUGCUCAUUCUCCUUCUCAAAUAAAUAAAAUUAAAAAAAAAAAAUUAAAGGUGAACACAUUCAUGGUUUUGAAUAAGAACUAUUCUACCUUGUUGACUUCAGUAUCUCCCCAAACUAUUUAACCACAGAAUUCCCCCACCCCCUGCAAAAGAGUUAUUAACAAUCAACAAAACUUCUGUUUUGUGAAAUAUUUUGGAAAGAACAACAGUCGAAAUGACAGUCCUAAUUAUCAGACUAAAAGUGUCAUAUGACAUCUGAUGGGAACCAGCCAGGCAAAGUUACAUGUUAGCAACAGCUCCCGCACCAGGUGCACAGACAUGGGAAACUUUGUGGUCCCUUGACCACAAAAACAAACUUUGUGGUCUCUUAACUCCUUAGUUUCUUUAUCUGCAAAAGGAGUCCAUGACCUCAAAGCUCUCCUCCAAAUCUGAUAACCUAAAAGGUGACUCAGUGAACAAAGGGGACUUCCCUCAUGACUCCCUCCUCAACUUGGUUUACGCACAGUUGCCUCCUUGAAUCCUGAGGUAAGGCGGGCACCAGUAGGACGCCACCAGCUCAGGGGCCCGACCAAAUACAAAAAGCUUCCCCUCCUUGUGCUUCCUCAGGCCCCGGGUUUUCUGGCUCAUUCCCUCAUAUGUGCGGCUUUUUGGCAGGGGUCUCCUCAGCCUCUGUCCAGGGAGUCCCGAGGAAGAGGACAUGUAACAGCAAAGCUGUUGAGGUGAGGACUCCGAUCUCAGGGACCACCCUGUGAGGCUGGAGGAGGGGAGCUGCUGGGUCCCCAGUCUCCACUGGAGAAUGCAGGAGGGGAGGAGGCAUGGGCUCCCGGGCUGGAGGUUGAGUUCUCAGGAGCCAAGAAACCAGUCAGUCUCCGAGGAUGAAAUGUCAGGUUGAAACAGCUGUAUCUUGAUGAGAGGCUGUGCUGGGCCCACUCAGAUCGUAUUAUUUAGAGGGCUGCCUUGUUGGCCUUUCCUAUGGCUGUUCUGACCGGUGUGUUUACCUGAGGAGGUUGUCUACACUGUUCCUGCGGUGCUUCAUUGCACGAGCUCUGGGCAACAAGCCAGGUACUGGUCCCAUGACUUUACUCCUGCUGGAGCCACAGGAUCCUGGGUGUCUGUGUUAAUUGUGGAACAGUAAGACUUUUCCAACAGUGAGAAUGUCACUCCAUUUUUCCUCUCCUUGUGGUCCAUAGACUGGUAAACCACAUCUCUCUAAUGGAUCUUAAAAACAGUUCUAUGAGGCGCCUGCAUGGCUCAGUGGGUUAAGCAUCUACCUUCAGCUCAGGUCAUGAUCUCAGGGUCCUGGGAUCAAG